ACUCAGUCAGGCCCAGGAGGGAACAGCAGGAUCUGGUGGAGUUUUUCAGGCGCUCAGG
rnacentral:SRP_RNA from 1 species